UACAGAGGUCUCAAGCGUUGUUCGGAUUCAUUGGGCGUAAAGGGUGCGUAGGCGGCGCGGUAAGUCGGGUGUGAAAUCUUGGAGCUUAACUCCGAAACUGCAUUCGAUACUGCCGUGCUUGAGGACUGGAGAGGGAACUGGAAUUUACGGUGUAGCAGUGAAAUGCGUAGAGAUCGUAAGGAAGGCCAGUGGCGAAGGCGAGUUCCUGGACAGUUACUGACGCUGGAGGCACGAAGGCCAGGGGAGCAAAACGG
rnacentral:rRNA from 1 species